rnacentral:rRNA from 1 species
GAUGAACGCUGGCGGCGUGCCUAAUACAUGCAAGUCGAGCGGACGGACGAGAAGCUUGCUUUUCUGAUGUUAGCGGCGGACGGGUGAGUAACACGUGGAUAACCUACCUAUAAGACUGGGAUAACUUCGGGAAACCGGAGCUAAUACCGGAUAAUAUUUUGAACCGCAUGGUUCAUAAGUGAAAGACGGUCUUGCUGUCACUUAUAGAUGGAUCCGCGCUGCAUUAGCUAGUUGGUAAGGUAACGGCUUACCAAGGCAACGAUGCAUAGCCGACCUGAGAGGGUGAUCGGCCACACUGGAACUGAGACACGGUCCAGACUCCUACGGGAGGCAGCAGUAGGGAAUCUUCCGCAAUGGGCGAAAGCCUGACGGAGCAACGCCGCGUGAGUGAUGAAGGUCUUCGGAUCGUAAAACUCUGUUAUUAGGGAAGAACAUAUGUGUAAGUAACUGUGCACAUCUUGACGGUACCUAAUCAGAAAGCCACGGCUAACUACGUG